AUUCUCCUGCCUCAGCCUCCUGAGCAGCUGGGAUUACAGGCACGUGCCACCGUGCCCAGCUAAUUUUUUUGUAAUUUUAGUAGAGACGGGGUUUCACCAUGUUGACCAAGAUGGUCUCGAUCUGUUGACCUCGUGAUCCACCCGCCUCCGCCUCCCAAAGUGCUGGGAUUACAGGCUUGAGCCACCGCGCCCGGCCUGGAAAGCCUUUAUCAUCAUUAGAUGCUGUCUAUCUAGCACCACCAUCACUGGUGCUAUCAUUAGCACCAAUAAGAAUGUCCUCCCAGGGUUCUGAAGCCCGCAGUCACCUACCUGGACUGAGAUUCUCCCCAGGCGCUGAGGAUGGGGCCAUGGCGCCCCGAACCCUCCUUCUGCUGCUCUUGGGGGCCCUGGCCCUGACUGAGACCUGGGCGGGCUCCCACCCCAUGAGGUAUUUCUACACUGCCGUGUCCCGGCCCGGCCGCGGGGAGCCCUGCUUCAUCUCGGUGGGCUACGUGGACUACAAGCAAUUCGUGCGCUUCGACAGCGACGCCGCUAGUGGGAGAGGGGAGCCGCGGGCGCGGUGGAUGGAGCACGAGGGGCCGGAGUAUUGGGACCGGGACACACUGACCCUCAAGGCCAGCGCACAGACUUACCUAGGGAACCUGCGGACCCUGCGCGGCUACUACAACCAGAGUGAGGCCGACCCCCCCAAAGACGCAUAUGACCCAUCACCCCGUCUCUGACCAUGAGGCCACCCUGAGGUGCCGGGCCCUGGGCUUCUACCCUGCGGAGAUCACACUGACCUGGCAGCAGGAUGGGGAGGACCAAACUCAGGACGCUGAGCUUGUGGAGACCAGGCCCGCAGGGGAUGGAACUUUCCAGAAGUGGGCGGCUGUGGUGGUGCCUUCUGGAGAAGAGCAGAGAUACGCGUGCCAUGUGCAGCACAAGGGGCUGCCCGAACCCCUUACCCUGAGAUGGGAGCCAUCUUCCCAGCUCACCAUCCUCAUUGUGGGCAUCGCUGCUGACCUGGUUGUCUUUGGAGCUGUGGUCGUCGGAGCUGUGAUCACUGCUGUGAUGUGGAGCAGGAAGAGCUCAGGACAUUUUCUUCCCACAGCUGGAAAAAGAGGGAGCUACUCUCAGGCUGCAUGCAGCGACAGUGCCCAGGGCUCUGAUGUGUCUCUCGCAGCUUGUAAAGCCUGAGACAGCUGCCUUGUUUGUGUGUGAUUGAGAUGCGGGAUUUCUUCACGCCUACCCUUUGUGACUUCAGCUUCUGGCAUCUCUUUCUGCAAAGCCAUCUGAAUGUGUCUGUGUCCCUGUUAGCAUAAUGUGAGGAGGUGAAGAGACAGCCCAGCCCGUGUCCACCAUGACCUCUGUCCCCAUGCUGACCUGUGUUCCCUCCCCAGUCAUCUUUCCAGAGAGGUGGGGCUGAGCAUCUCCAUCUCUGUCUCAACUUCAUGGUGCACUGAGCUACAACCUCUUACUUUCCUACUGAAAAUGAGAAUCUGAAUAUAAAUUUCUUUUCUUAAAUAUUUGCCAUGAGAGGUUGAUGGGUUAAUUAAAUAAGUCAGUUCCUAAAAUUUGAGAGAGAAAAUAAAGACCUGAGAAACUUCCAGAAAAAAAAAAA